rnacentral:SRP_RNA from 1 species
UCGAAGCAUGAAAACACGGAGAAGGUGCUCGCACCGUCUCAACCAAUCCUCUGCUUUGGGGAAAGUCCCCGGACACACUUCUUGCGGAAACGCG